ensembl:lincRNA
GUUCCCCACCAGAUUCAUUCCUGAUUCACAGAUCUUUAUUCCAAAACUAUCUGUUAAGUACCAGAUACUGUGCUCCAUGUAGGUCCUCAGCGCUUUUUCUGAAAUUUCCUUCCCCAAAGAUUGGAUGGUAAAGCCCACAAGAAUACGUGGGAACGGACGCCCAGCCAGGAGGAGCAGUGGGUCUGCUCCUCGGUAUCCUGCUUCCCUGUCUCCUGAAACGCCUGCCUGUGGGUUUAAGUAAGGCCCAGGGCCCUGACCGGCCGUGUGGCUCAGCAGGGCGGGCCUCUGCCAUGAAGGGCAGUUUCAGAGGUCAUUCUCCUGCCGAGAGAAUUCUUAGCUUAGUUCUUAUCCUUACAUUCACUAAAACAAACAGAGGUUCUUAGACUCCACCUGGAGCCCAUAGAUUUUUAAUUUCCUGGAGCAGGGUCCAGGAACCUGUCUUUCUGCAAUACUUCCUGAUUUGGGAACCAUGACCACACUCACCCUUUAAGUGAGCAAGGCGAUUCCAGAAAUGUGUUCCUGCUGCGUAAGCCAGGCAAACAAGAGGGUGCUGCCUGGGCCUGCGUUGGCUACAUUGUAGCCAGGUCAACGCGCCUCAUUGUUCUGGAUGAGAUUAAAGUCCAGUCCACAGAAAUAACAGCCCAGAAGCCACCGAAGAGUGCUGGUCUCUCUGACCGUCGUGAUCAUGGUUUCUUGGGCGCCCCAGGACGGGGAAGGGGGACGAGAUGUCAGCACACUGGUUUGUCCUGCUUGGUGAUGCCGACGAGGAAGGGCGCCCCGGGAGAGACUGUGGGGUGUGGCACUCUUUCGCCUCUCCUGGACCUCUGUCUCCAAGGCCCCCCAUGGACAGUGACAUUGCUGCUUCUGUGCCCUCGCUGUGGGGCCAGACUAGUUUACGAAGUGGAAAAGCAACCCAUGGACUCGGUGGAAGCCCAAGAUCUGGGGGAGGCGUGUGUGCGUCAGGGCCAAGAGCAAGUGGGCUCAGUCUGGAUGGCCUUGGCCACGGGGGGAGGUGCUCACAUGUGCCUCUGGCUUCUCCGCCCCUUUCUCUCCAUGCCUGACACUGAUCUCACACGUCAACAUGCCCCUCCCUUUGCUUCUCGUUGGACCAGACAUGAGGGGUCACUGAGGACGUUUAGAUAGACAUUCCCAGGAGGGUGUCAGAGUCAUUGUGCUGAGCCGAGCGCAACAGAGGUUCCCGCGCUGAUGGCAGGAGCUCCACUCGUACUUGAACCCUGUCCAAAGCCGGGGAUCACCACCUCCCUGGGUACUCCGCAGGCAUGGAAGAAUACAGGUGUCCAGAGGGGCCAGGCACCGGCUGAGGCAGCAUCUGACCAAACCAAAGGGCACCUGUGCUUUCUCUGAGGCCAUUCCCUGGGGGCCUGACAAUGGCACAGAGUGAGCCCUGCUACAGAGCCCGCAGAGCCCCAAGCCUGGCGCAGUGCCUUCUACUCUCUUAGCCACAUGAGCCCCAGACCCUCCAUCAAUCACUAGGCUCAGCCCCCAAACUCUGAGCCCACCAGAUGCCCAGGAAAGCUGCGUCCUUCCAAAGUGGAGCCCCAGCCAGCCAGAGUCAGGACGCAGCCCUCACACCAGCUGCAGCCACCCCUCUACUGUGCUCCUGCCCCCUUUGGGUUUCCAAUAACCGGACAGUGCUGUAGCUUCGGUGAAGGUGACAGGGCCUCCCUGGCCGGCAUUGGUAGGAGUGGAAAACUCGUGAAUGGGCCCUUCUGAAAGGGCUGGCAUCGAGGCAGCUCCUAGGAGCAAACCCAUGUCCUGGGCAGACUUUACGNNNNNNNNNNNNNNNNNNNNNNNNNNNNNNNNNNNNNNNNNNNNNNNNNNNNNNNNNNNNNNNNN